AAUAGGCUGUGGACUAUAUUAAAUAUAUUAUCAUCUUGAAAAAAAAAUGUAUAUAGCUAUUAUAUUAUACUUUCAUGACAAUUUAAUCACUUUACAGUAAAAUUAAUUUUUGAAAUAUUUUAUUAGUCUUACAAAAACUAUAAUUAUUUUCCCUACUUUAAUAUAUAACUGAGAAAAGAAAAUAAUAUUUUUUUAAAAUUGUGUUUUUAUUAUACUUAUUAAUAUUUUUUCACCUUAACGAUGUAGAAUUAUUAGGUACCUAUUAUAUUAUAAAAUAAUAUAAUAUUUGUUUAUGAACUACUUAACAAGUUGACUACCGCAUUAUUUUAAAUAGCUUGAUAUUAUACUGAAAAUGAUACUCAAAAAUUACAAAAUAGUGCCUCAAAGCUUAAGAAUCAAAUUGUGUACCAGCAAUCAUACUCAAAAUAUGUAAAAUGAAAGAAUUAAAAAUAUAUACUAUGACUAGGGUAUAAACUAUGUGAGUACCAAAUAUGGUACUCACUGUAGUCAUUAGUGCAAUAGUUCAUAAACAAUUAAUUAAUUUGAUACAAAUAUAUAUGACCUGGGUUUAAGACUUAUAGCAUAAUAUACUUAUUCCUUUGACUUGGUAUUAAAUCUAGAUAGUUUAUACAAAUGUGUGUAUUAUAUAAAUAAUUCAAAUAUGAAUUUUGUAAAUAUUCUUUUUCCUCUUUUUAUACUUUAUAAUUACAUAAGCCAUUGACAUACCCUGUCCCCCAUGAUUUUUAAAUAGUUUUACCUUUGUAAUCCAUUACCCACUUUGUAUAUUUUUUUUCUACUUUUCACAUGGUACAAUACGAAUCCAUGAAUGUAGUUCUAAAGAGAUACAAAAGUUCAAAUAUGAAAAUUAAAAAUUCUUUUUUGUUGUUACUAGAUUCUGUUGGUUUUUUAAAAAUAUUUCUAAGUAUUUUUAAGUACUUUUUUUAUUAUUAAUUAUCAAGUGCUAUAUGUCCCAAUCCUUGAUUAUAUCUAUAAAACUAAAAGUUUAAUAUUAUUUAUGUUAAAUUAAAUUAAACAAAAGAGCAUAUUUUUAAUACCCAUGUAUUUAGUAUUUACAAUAAUAAUAAUAGCUAAUAUUAGCGUAUAAUGUAUUUUAUUGUUUUUAGAGCAAUACAACGAAGGCAGACAAGAGUACAAGUUUAGAAAACACUUCGUUUGGGUUAAAUUUUUACUCAACUUGUAAAAAUAAAUGAAAACCUUCAGAAAAUAUUUUAGUUAUACUACCAUUAUAUUUUAAAUAAAUUAUAAUACAAUUACUAAUUCUACAAUAUAAUUUUAUGAUUAUUUAAAAAUAAUAAUUAAUCAAUGUGUAUUUCAUUAAAAUAAUUAUAAGUUGGUAUUCAACAAAUUGUAAAAUGUUCUAUUGCUAAGAGUUACAAAAUUAAAAAAGAAUUUACAAUUACAAAAUUUGGAUUAUAGAAAAUUAUACAAAAUAGUACGACUGAAUAAUAG